rnacentral:lncRNA from 1 species
GGGGACAUUUGGGGACAUUUGGGGACAUUUGGGGACAUUUGGGGACAUUUGGGGACAUUGUGGUGAGGAGAACAGGCUCAGGUCCAGGGGUCUAUAGGGUCCCCGUCACCACCCUAUAGGUUCUCCAUCCCCCAAAUCAUAUAGGGGGGGGGCUUUUAGGGACCCCAAAACCAACCUAUAGGGUUUUUUCCCCCCCCCACCCCCCCAGGCAGAUUCGGGGGGCCCCCUGUCCUGCUUUUCGGGGGGCCGCUGGGUUCAGGCGGGGGUCCUGAGCUUCGCCGUGGGCUGCGGCCGCCCCAACGGGCCCGUGCUGGCCACGGGGCUAGCGGCCCACGCCGGGUGGCUACGGGGUCACGUCCCCCCCGCCGCCUUCCCCCCGCCCCCCCCGCCGCCCCCCCCAGGCCUGGAGGACGGCAAGUGCAUGGGUUGUGGGAUGCAGGGGGGGGCCCCCCCUGGAGCCCCCCCGGGGGUCGGGGUGGCCCUGGUACGUCAGCCUGGUUUUUGGGGGACGCCACCGCUGCGGGGGGGCCCUGGUGGCCGAGAGCUGGGUGCUGACGGCCGCCCACUGCUUUAUAGGGUGAGUGGCGACCCCAAAAUGCCUUCGGGACCCCCGGAAACCCCAAAAUCCUAUAGAAAUCCCAUGAAAAUCCCAAAAAUCCUAUAGAAAUCCUAUGAAAAUCCCAAAAAUCCUAUAGAAAUCCUAUGGAAACCCCAAAAUCCUAUAGAAAUCCUAAAAUCCUAUUAAGAUCUUAUGGAAAUCCCAAAAUCCUAAGAUCCUAUGGAAACCCCAAAAUCCCAUAGAAAGCCCAUGAAAACCCCAAAAUCCUAUAGAAAUCCUAUGAAAACCCCCAAAUCCUAUAGAGAUCCUAUGGAAACCCCAAAAUCCUAUAGAGGUCCUAUGGAAACCCAAAAAUCCUAUAGAAAUCCUAUGGAAACCCCAAAAUCCUAUAGAAAUCCCAUGAAAAGCUCAAAAUCCUAUAGAGAUCCUAUGAAAAUCCCAAAAAUCCUAUAGAGAUCCUAUAGAAACCCAAAAAUCCUAUUACGAUCCUAUGGAAACCCCAAAAUCCCAUAGAAACCCUAUGGAAAACCCAAAAUCCCAUAGAAACCCUAUGAAAACCUCAAAAUCCUAUAGAGAUCCUAUAAAAAAAACAAAAUCCUAUAGAGAUCCUAUGGAAACCCCAAAAUCCUGUAGAGAUCCUAUAAAAAACCCCAAAAUCCUAUAGAGAUCCUAUGAAAACCCCAAAAUCCUAUAGAGAUCCUAUGAAAAUCCCAAAAAUCCUAUAGAGGUCCUAUGGAAACCCCAAAAUCCUAUAGAGAUCCUAAAAUCCUAUUAAGAUCUUAUGGAAAUCCCCAAAUCCUAAGAUCCUAUGGAAACCCCAAAAUCCCAUAGAAACCCCAUGAAGACCCCAAAUCCCAUAGAGACCCCCCUGAAAACCCCAAAAUCCUAUUAAGAUCCUAUGGAAACCCCAAAAUCCCAUAGAAACCCUAUGAAAACCGCAAAAUCCUAUAGAAAUGCCAUGAAAACCUCAAAAUCCUAUAGAGAUCCCAUGAAAAGCUCAAAAUCCUACAGAGAUCCUAUAAAAACCCCAAAAUCCUAUUACGAUCCUAUGGAAAUCCCCACAUCCUAAGAUCCUAUGGAAACCCCAAAAUCCCAUAGAAACCCU